GAAAAUUCAAAACCGUUUUUCAUCGAAGUUAUUCAAAUGCAAAAGGGAAACGACAUCACUGCUCCAGAUCGUUAUUGUCGUCAUUAUCUGUAUCUUAACCUCCACCACCAGAACCAUAUUUCUUUCCGAACACGAUGAGCUGAAGCUUAUCAUAACCAGCAAGCACUCCGGCACCUGCAACAGCACGUAAUAUGUUUGCACCGGCACCUUUAAAGAGUGACUUCGUACCCUCUUUUGCGAUAAUUAUCUUGAAUGCUUCCAAAGAACUCUUGUAUUUUACAGCUUCUCCAGAUGUCAUCAUCAUCCUUCUACGCACCGUAUCAAUGGGGUAAGAGGCCAAGCCAGCACCUAUAGUGAUUCCCCAUCCCAGAAGAAAACUUGCAAAGAAGCUAUCCUGUUAACCAGAAGAAUAACUAAGGUAAGUAAACAUAAGAACAUGUAGAAUAGCAUCAUUAGGAAACUGUUUAAACCAAAUCUGGUUAGGCAUAUCAACAAAUAUCUAGGAACCAGAAAACUAUGAGCAUAUAUGUAACAAGAACAUUUAACUAUAUUGCUUGUAUUACAAAAUAAAACUGAAAAACAUAAAUCAUACAAAACUGAAAUGAAGAUGAGUAGUUUUUACCAAGGUAAUAAAACAGACGAGAUUUCAAAUUCAAAUUUUAUAUUUACCUGCAGUCCACCGACCAAGACAACUGGUUUCAAAGAAUCAUACAUUCCAAAGUAAAGACCACGGUACACUAUGAUUCCAACACACGAGAUGUUGAAACCACGGUAAAGGCCAGCAAUACCAUCAGAUUUGAUGGUUUUCCUGUAAACAUCAACCAAGCCAUUGAACUGCCUCUCACCACCCUUCUUUGCAGCCUUUGCAUCAUUUGCUAGACGAGUUCGAGCAAAAUCCAGCGAAUAGACAAACAAGAGGGAGGAGGCCCCAGCAGCCCCACCAGACGCUAGAUUCCCAGCAAACCACUUCCAGUAGCCAUCCUUAUCUUUUUUGAAGUUGAAAAGCCUCUUGAAAUAAUCCUUGAAAGCAAAGUUCAGAGCCUGAAAAAAAAAUAACAAAAGAAAGCAUUACCGAUACAGUAAUAACAAAUAUAUACCGCAGACUAAACAGCAAAAUGCCAAACAUAAAUUUGCAUUCAUCACAUCAAAAUCAAAUAAAAGUAACAGGAGGGAUGCAAAUUAAAGAGAGAUAGGACUAGAAGUAUAUUCUAAAAUCCUUUCCCACAAAGCAUAAACUACUCUGAAAACAGAAUAACACUAUGAACAACACUCCAGAAAGACAAUGUGAAGAACAAAUAUGCAGAGAGCCACUGGGUUUGAUGUGUAGUUCAAAAAAAAUUUCUAUCCUGCAUAGAUCCAGGAAAAAUAUACUGGCACAUAUGUAGAGACACUACAUUCCAACUUCACAGGAAAGAAAAAUCACCUGAGUAGGGAAGUAUCUGAUAACAUUAGCCGUGUUUCCUCUCCAAAGAGCAAUCACCCCUUCAUCCUUCAUGGUUCGAGAGAAACAAUCACCAAUUCCCUUGUAAGGUUCAGACAACCGACCACUCUUGAUCAUUUCAUCCUGGUUUUGGAUGAGUAACUUGACUCGCUCAAUCGGAGCUGCAGCCGUCUUGGACACAGCAGCUGAC
rnacentral:lncRNA from 1 species